AAUUUUCAGUCUCAUACAUGUACAUAUGUACGUGUCUUAAGAUUGGAUAGUUGGGAGUGUUAUGCCAGGUUCACGAGAAUGUUGGCUCUCCUGAAAUUUAUUGGAGUUUUGAACCCCUCUGUGGAUCGGCCAUUGGUGUGAUAAAUUAUCUACAUCAUGCUGUAAACGUGUGUGGGGGGUCUCUCCAGGCUUUUAGCCUAUUUGAAAUCUUUGACG
rnacentral:misc_RNA from 1 species